AUGAACGCUGGCGGCGUGCCUCAUACCUGCAAGUCGAGCGCACGGACGAGAAGCUUGCUUCUCUGAUGUUAGCGGCGGACGGGUGAGUAACACGUGGAUAACCUACCUAUAAGACUGGGAUAACUUCGGGAAACCGGAGCUAAUACCGGAUAAUAUUUUGAACCGCAUGGUUCAAAAGUGAAAGACGGUCUUGCUGUCACUUAUAGAUGGAUCCGCGCUGCAUUAGCUAGUUGGUAAGGUAACGGCUUACCAAGGCAACGAUGCAUAGCCGACCUGAGAGGGUGAUCGGCCACACUGGAACUGAGACGCGGUCCAGACUCCUACGAGAGGCAGCAGUAGGGAAUCUUCCGCAAUGGGCGGAAGCCUUACAGAGCAACGCCGCGUGGGUGAUGAAGGUCUUCGGAUCGUAAAGCUCUGUUAUUAGGGAAGAACAUAUGUGUAAGUAGCUGUGCACAUCUUGACGGUACCUAAUCAGAAAGCCACGGCUAACUACGUG
rnacentral:rRNA from 1 species